rnacentral:rRNA from 1 species
UACGUAGGGUCCGAGCGUUGUCCGGAAUUACUGGGCGUAAAGAGCUCGUAGGUGGUUUGUCGCGUCGGCCGUGAAAACCUGGGGCUCAACUCUGGGCGUGCGGUCGAUACGGGCAUCACUUGAGUUCGGCAGGGGAGACUGGAAUUCCUGGUGUAGCGGUGAAAUGCGCAGAUAUCAGGAGGAACACCGGUGGCGAAGGCGGGUCUCUGGGCAACAACUGACGCUGAGGAGCGAAAGCGUGGGGAGCGAACAGG